rnacentral:rRNA from 1 species
AUUGAACGCUGGCGGCAUGCCUUACACAUGCAAGUCGAACGGCAGCACGGGAGCAAUCCUGGUGGCGAGUGGCGAACGGGUGAGUAAUAUAUCGGAACGUGCCCAGUAGUGGGGGAUAGCCCGGCGAAAGCCGGAUUAAUACCGCAUGAGACCUGAGGGUGAAAGCGGGGGAUCGCAAGACCUCGCGCUAUUGGAGCGGCCGAUAUCAGAUUAGCUAGUUGGUGGGGUAAAGGCCUACCAAGGCAACGAUCUGUAGUUGGUCUGAGAGGACGACCAGCCACACUGGGACUGAGACACGGCCCAGACUCCUACGGGAGGCAGCAGUGGGGAAUUUUGGACAAUGGGCGCAAGCCUGAUCCAGCAAUGCCGCGUGCAGGAAGAGGGCCUUCGGGUUGUAAACUGCUUUUGUCAGGGAAGAAAUCCCUUGGGAUAAUACCUCGGGGGGAUGACGGUACCUGAAGAAUAAGCACCGGCUAACUACGUGCCAGCCGCCGCAGUAACAC